CCCAAUGUCCCUGACAUUCCCGGACAUUCCCUGAAUACUCACAGAGCCGAUCUGAGAAAAUCUGGAUUUUACAACAUCUUGACAGCCGGAUCUAUGCAGAUUACCAUAUUGUAACCUGGUCUUGUUAAGGACCAGAAAAAAAAAAUUCAGAUGAUCAGUAAUAAACAGUCUUUAAACAUUGACUUAAACAUACCAAGUUACUUUGGUUACCACCUGGACUUGCAGAAGUCCAAACUCAGGAAGUGCCUGCCGGGCAUGGCGAGUCACAGCUCUUGCAGGGCCUGCUAGGGAACGCCCUCUUUCUUCUGCUGUGAGCUCACACAAUGUGAGCAAGGGGAAAGGUGGACAGAUGAUGCAGACAACAUAAGGGCCUAGAUUUAACAACAAGGUUUAAAAGCAAAAAAAAAGCAUAAACUGAAACUAGACAAAGAACAGAGCCACAUAAAACUUGAUUCAAACAUCGUCAAUAUUUUGGUGACACAUUCCUUUUAAUUGUUUUGUUAGUGCACUAAUAUAUUUCAGUAGAUCUCUAUGAAGACUCUGGAAAACCAAGAAUAAUAUAUCAACAAAAACAUAUCUACUGGUCAUUUGGUUGGACGUUUUUGUUUGUAUUUCUUUCUUUAUUUUUUGUGUAUAUUAUUAUAAGGGGAAGCUAUAUUGCUUGAGCUUUCGGCACAGCAUUUAGAGGCAAGUUUUACAGCAGUCCCACGAACAUUGGAAACAAGCCACUGGAGGACACCCUACUGACUUCUAUGUGAGAGUUUUCUAGGCAUUCUAUGGAACUUGUUCAGAAUGGUGGAGCCAUGAGCAGCAACUAUUGAUAAUGGCCUGAUCCUAUCUUAUCUAUAUGUUUACUCUUUUAAGUGAACGUCAUUUUAAAGCGCAUCUCGGCAGGCACGUCAUUCACACAGGGCGGCCUUUCAAUCACCAAGCUUUUGAGCAUUUAAAGGGGUAUUACGGGCAAAAACAUUUUAUCACCUAUCCAAAGGAUA